rnacentral:rRNA from 1 species
GACGAACGCUGGCGGCGUGCUUAACACAUGCAAGUCGAACGGAAAGGCCCUGCUUGCAGGGUACUCGAGUGGCGAACGGGUGAGUAACACGUGGGCGAUCUGCCCUGCACUUCGGGAUAAGCCUGGGAAACUGGGUCUAAUACCGGAUAGGAGCCAUUUUUAGUGUGAUGGUUGGAAAGUUUUUUCGGUGUAGGAUGAGCUCGCGGCCUAUCAGCUUGUUGGUGGGGUAAUGGCCUACCAAGGCGGCGACGGGUAGCCGGCCUGAGAGGGGGGACGGCCACAUUGGGACUGAGAUACGGCCCAGACUCCUACGGGAGGCAGCAGUGGGGAAGAUUGCACAAUGGGCGCAAGCCUGAUGCAGCGAAGCCGCGUGGGGGAUGACGGCCUUCGGGUUGUAAACUCCUUUCGCUAGGGACGAAGCUUUGUGUGACGGUACCUAGAUAAGAAGCACCGGCUAACUACGUG